AGGGCUUGACAUGGCGGGGACAGCCGGUGAAAGCCGGUCUCCCUUCGGGGUCCCGUCACAGAUGCUGCAUGGCCGUCGUCAGCUCGUGCCGUGAGGUGUUGGGUUAAGUCCCGCAACGAGCGCAACCCCUGUCGUCAGUUGUAUUUUUCUGGCGAGACUGCCCGGAGCAACCGGGAGGAAGGUGGGGAUGACGUUUACCGACAGCU
rnacentral:misc_RNA from 1 species